AAUUCGGCAAUGUUUUGGACUCACAUUCUAAUUAAGUAGGACAAAUUCACAUUCAAGUCAUGCUUAAUCUUCUUUUCUUGUAUUCAAGGGCAAAUAAUGGUUGGAUGAGUUGAUCUCAAUGGUGUCUAUGUCUCAUAAGAAAAAGAAACAUGCGAAGAAUAAGGUACACUCGACCAAUACUGAAAGAGCAUACAUCGAGGAAGAAGUCUCUCAUUCAAGACAACCAGAUCUUUGGACUGAAAUCCUCCCUCAAGAAACUUUCCCUUGUCAAAGCAACAACUCGAAGAAGGUCAAACUCGUCGAAGAAGCAAUAAGCAGCAAGGAGAAGCAGUAGUGCUUGUUCUCUGCUAGAAUUGCUCGGAAGCGUCUCAGUGACCCGCAUGACAAGUCGAAAUCUCGAAGGGAGAGAUGCCUCUCAUUUUGCUCUGUAAGUGUUUGCAUGGCCUAUGCCACAAGCCACUAGAUAAGCGCAGUUAACUGUAGAUGAAUCUUUCAUGAGAUAUGAAAUUUAUAUUUUUAGCGAGGUCUAAGCAUGACCCAUC